UGUGGGAGCUGGCUUGCCAGUGAUGGCGUCGGCACAGGCAGAAUCAUUCUGGCUGAUCUACCGCUAUCGCUGGCAAGCCAGCUCCCACA
rnacentral:misc_RNA from 1 species